rnacentral:rRNA from 1 species
GCCAGCAGCCAUAUCAGCCUGCAGCUCACAGCUGGCAGCCCACUGGAGCUCAGCAGGUGUGAGCCUGGUCAGUACCUGGAUGGGAGACUCCUGGGGAAAAACUCAGGUUGCUGCUGGAA